ensembl:lncRNA
CAAACGAACCGUCUGCACAAAAUGGAGGCUCGAGCCCUAGCAGAGCCGGCCUGGCUCGCGAGGCCUGUGUGCGCGAGGAGGAGCGGCGCAGGAGGCCUGGCCGGGUCGAGGCCCGCGCCGGGCGGACCCGGGAGGGCCCAGCGGCCCCCCGCGCCGGGCAGUCGCCCCGCAGCUGCAGGCUGACGUCACGGUCGCCCCAGGGCGGCCCGAGCCGGCCUCCCCAGGCGUUAUUUGAUGAGGACAGGCCGAUUCAAACGAACGUGCUGUGCGGGUGCCCGCUUGUCCGCCCCGCCCCGCCCUCCCCGAGAGGAUAAUCGGGUAUUUAAUCUCUCCCGGUCUUAAUUCUUGGCAGCGUGGAAGGUGGUUUGCACGGGAAAUAAAACUUGACAGGAGCAUUUUCUCUAAAAGGGGUUCUGCGACGGGCUGAAAAGAAACCGUGUUUUUCUCCACCAAAUACUUCCGCUUUCUGAGCCCCCCGGGCGGAGGGGUGGGGUGACAUCCGAGGGAGCGAGAGCGAGCUGGGCACGCAGGACCGCGCCGUGGACCGCGCUGCGGACGCUCCGGGCAGCGCCGGUCUCCGCCCGGGCCUGGGGCUGGGCCUGGGCCUGGGCCUGGGCCUGGGCCUGGGCCUGGGCCUGGGCCGGGAAGCGGCCUCGGGCCUCGCCGCGUCCAGCGCCUCUGCCGCUCGGCUCGGCCGUAGCCCCGGCGCCGUCCGCAGCCGGGAGCCAGGACCCCGCUCGCCCGGGAAGCUGGCACCGGCAGGGGCCGGGUGGGCACCCACAGGAGCACCCUGGCAUUGGCCAAGGGCGCGUGGGGUCAAGCGAGAGAAGAGGGCGCUGGGGAGGGCCCUGCACCGCUUGGCUUUGGCUCUGAGCCUUUUAGCCAAGGGGAGCUGGGGACCAGAGCUGGCCAAAGAGGUGGUGAGAGCGCUGCUGGGGGCUUUGUUUCGGCUGCGGGGCUGCAGAUCCUGCACAAAACGGAGGGGGCACGGGGUGAGCGGCGCAGCAUGCGUGGGUUGUCCGGGCUGCUAUUGGGUGGGAGAAGCCGCAGACAGCGGAAUCCCCUCCCGGCCGCUCAGAGAGCGCCCUCCCCUCGCGCCGCAAAGGUCAAGUCCUCGGCACCAGGGCCGCUCCACGGUCAGGGCCGCGCGGACGCGGGAAGGCGCCGCAGGACCCACACUUGGCCGCCUGCAAACGGGUUCCGAUUGCCCGGGCUCUCGGACCGGAGGCAGGGGCUCCUGCCUGGCUUCCUACGCCGCCGCUCCCAGCCCUACUGAAAAGGAGUUCCCGCAGCCAGGGUUGGCCCCGGCUAAGUCCCCGUCGAAUCCUAGAAGAGCGGGUCCAGGAGACUUCGGAGCCCGCGGAGGCCUAGCCCGGGCGAGAGGCAGCGCCCGCAAGCUCAGGAGAGACGGUGUGGCUGGAUCGGAGUUCUGGGCUCCGGCAGAAGCAAGGGACCGGCAGGGCCAGAAUAGGAUAGGGGAGCAAGGAUCCUGCUGGGAACCUCUCUUAAGGUACUUGGGUUCACAUCUGCUCCUUCAAGUGCACGCUGAUGCUUUGUGCACUUGGAUGCUCUUCUUCUCCUGCCUAAAAUCUAGGCCAAGAAAUGAGGUGCACUCUGCCAAAGACAGAAAAGCUGAGCUUUAUCCCUAGAACUGCAUGGGUGGAGCAGGGCUUGAGGAGACACUAACUGGAGGAAUUCUCCAUGGAUAGGUACCAUCACAGAACUGCCUGGAAGGGCAUGUAGGGGAGACUCCUAGGGCAGGGUUGCACUGGGCAUGGGCUCUCUUUUUUCAAGUCUGAAAUGUGAGCUAUGGAUUGCCACUGAGUAGAAAUGGAGGAGCCUGGGGAACUGCCCUAGGAGGCAGCUGGAGCUUGGGGCAUGGAGGCUUCCCGUGAGCCACAGCUGAGGGCUAGGGCUGGCCUUCUGGUUGGGCCGCCCUCUUUUGUCCUCUUUAUUGCAGAUACCCUUGGCUGCAGAAACCCGUCUGGGCCGAAGUUUCUGGGAGAAUGGAAAGCAGACGCUGUGAACCAGGGCUUUGUCCUUCAAAGUUUCCCCUACUCCAUUUGCUCCCAUGUGAUGGGGGGGAGGAUUUUUUUUUUUUUUAAUGAACCCACCGCAACAUAAAAAUAAAAAUAGUUUUUCUCAAAGGAA